rnacentral:rRNA from 1 species
UGAAGAGAGAGUCAAAAGACCGUGAAACCGUCAGAGUAUAAGCCAAUGGAGCUUGGAAGGCUUCCGCAGUCUCGGCAUCAUGCGUGGUGUUCGUAAGAUCAGAAGCACGGUUCGUGAGGCGGAGCAUUGAGUUUGCCGCUUAGCUGUCGUGCGGGGUUCGGCUUGGGGGUUUUAGGCUUCGGCCGAACAAUUCCCGGCCGUUCCUUUUGAAUGGACGUUCAGAGCUUCUGUGUCUAAUGCGGUUAUGCCCACCACGGCACGUUGUGAGGUCACCCACAGGCUCAAACUGCCGAUCGCGAAUCCAGGACGAUGGCAACGAUGCGUUGUUUUACUCGACGCGAGUUAUCACGCGUGUCUAGUCCUGGGUCGGGCGGCGACCGAGAUAAACCUGGUAUGAUCCUCGUGCGACGAGCCGCUUUCUGGCCAGACCGACGCCCAGGCGCUUCCACUGUGCCGGAAGUGUCAAUCCCAGGCGGUGUGAACCCAGCUGCAUUCUGCAAGGUCUCUCAGCCGGGCGUUGGUCUGAGUGGUGUUAAGUCCAGCACCGUCGGUCACGUCUCGAAACACGGGCCAAGGAGUAUAGCAUGUGUGCAAGUCUAAGGGUCUCACAAAACCCGAAGGCGAAGUGAAAGCAAGACUGUGGCGGGGGAGCUACGGCAAACCUGCCGGCCUUGUGGCGCGAUCUCGCGUUGCCUGGCUUAUAGCAGAGCUGAUCCUGUUUUCUCGGUUGAUUCUUGGUGCAGGCGCAAGCUCCGGGCUCACGUACAACACUGGUCACGCCUCGUGUGUGGCUGUGUUGUGAGCACCGUGGAGCAUGCAUGCUAUGACCCGAAAGAUAGUGAACUAUGCCUGGCGAGGGCGAAGCCCCAGGAAACUGGGGUGGAGGCCCGUAGCCGUUGUGACGUGCAAAUCCAUGGUAUCAGCUGGGCAUAG